CAGAGUAGACCUGAAGAAGUUUCCAGCCGUUUGCACAAAUGUAUAUCUAAGACACGCAAACUGGAUGGAAGUGCUGGAAUUUGUCGAAGCUCUUGACAGUUACCCAAGACAAGGAGUCUCAGCCUAGAAAGUUGAUUGAUCCCAGCAGGUAUGCUCCUAAAAAGAUUCCCGAAUAGAAAUAAUUCUUGCAGAGAUGAUAGCUGGCAAAUUUCAGUGGGGAUUCCUCCUUCAUCUAUACCACACACACGUAGAUCUACAACUUCCAAGGAGUACAAGCAGCAAAUAUCACUCAGGACUACUCCUUGCAUUAGCUUUGAGUAAAUAAGAUCUAACUCCUUUAAGGAGCAUAAACCUGACAAAGAAAGCAAUUGGCAACAUCUUGAAUUUAAGCCCCUAGCACGGAGACACUUCAAGCUUUGCAGCCUCCCCAGGUUUUGUGGCAAUUUGUGGAGUUUUGAACAGUAAUUCACAUUGAGAUCUUCAAGAAAGCGUAAAUUACAAAUGCUUUCUGGAAGAGUCACAAGGUUUUUGCACCUCUCAAGAUUCAAAACUUGAAGCCUAUUCAAAUGUUCGAUUGAAGAUGGUAGCUCUUUUAUGGCCGUUCCGUUCAAGUGAAGCUGCCUUAAGUUUUCCAUAUUCUCCAAGAUUUCUGGGAAGUACUGUAAUUGUGAACAGUCAGAGCAAAAGAGAGAUUUUAGGGAUUUGAACUCCCAAAUGCUUGUUGGUAGACUCUCAAGGUUUUUGCACUCUCGCAAACAUAAGGUAUCAAAUUCAGAGGCACACUCAAUGGGUGGUAGGCUGAUUGUCUGACCCUUUAAACAAAGCUUUCGGUGUUCCACAUUCCUCUGACAUUCAGCGCAGCUAGCAUCCACAUCAUCAGUCUGUACUAUUGGAUCUUGGGCGUAUAUAGGUUCAAGCCCACACUUGAGCACCUUAAAAUGAUUGCGACAGCCCAUAAAUAUAGCCCCAAGAAACAUGGAUGGAUUGGUGUGACAGCUCUCCAGAAUAGCAGCCUUGGGAUAGAAUAUCACCCACAUUUGUUCUGAUCCACCUCCAUCAUGGUAGCAUUUACAAGUAGUGCGAAAACUGAGACGUUGCGCACACAGGGUAGAAAAUCCAUAUCUAUCAUGUAAUGACAAUUUACAUUCUAACCCAGUGGAGAUUGAAGAUUCAGCUUCAAGUAAAUCGUCAUAUUCAUUUAGGGCUUCGUCACCAGAUUCAUUCUCCGAUGUAUGUGCAAAAUCAUUUUCUGGUAUGUCCUCACAUUCAUCGUGUGGAGCAUAAACACAGCAUAUAGCAAUUCCCAAGAAGUCAUUAUUUUCGUAACAAUUCUGAGGAAGGUCCAUUGUGAUAUGAUUUCCCUCUCUCUGAUUCCUUAUCCACUUGGGAAUUCCACAGCUUCCCGGAACAACAAUACAGACUCCAUUGCCAAUGAAGUCAGAAUCACGGAGAAAUACUUCAUUUGAACUGCUCUUGUAUUUCAAAUCCUGUACAAAAGGACAAUGUAAAUCCUGUGGGUCUGUGCCAUUAUGUGAGUUUUUAUGAGAGAGUUUGUUAUCAGUUUUUGAUAAAUUGAUUCCCAGUUUUAACUUUCUUUGAUCUAUGCUCCUGAAUCUACUUAAUAUCCCUUUUAGAUGACGGAUUAUCAAUCAACAUGAAAGUGAGUGACAAGAUUAAGUGUGAAAACUGGAAGUGAGGGGAAACUGAAACUGAAAGUGAGUAGAAUAACCAGAUCUCUUCUUCACUUGCAGUAGCUUCUUCUCCAUUCAGAUACAGAGAUCUUAGAAUUGUAGCUUCAACUUAACUCUCAGAAUCUUAAAGACAAAGUUCGCUCAAGUUUCAAAAACUCACACAAAAAUUUCUCCUCAUGUUUCUCUUAAUCCUAUGAGGCGAGAGACAUGUAGCACACACUUAUUGGCUUUUUUACAUGCAAGUUUCAAGGUGGAGCGUCUAAUGAACUAAAACAUUCCCUCAAAUCCCAGUGGAAAUUCACACUAGAAAUUGCAGAAUUUGCUAAGGAAAAGUUUAAUUCAUUUAAUCCAUGAAUAAAAAAGUAUGUGAGAGCAUUUUAACAUCCUAAUACUUAUUAUAUUAAACUAUAAUUCUCAUUAUUUAAACUCAUGAUCCUUCACUUCAUCACCAAAUUUUGAAGACACUUUUGGCAUCUCUUCCAUGAAUUAAUUGAUGUUUAAGAAGGUAUAAUAAACUUUUAAUUGAAUUUAACAUUAUUUCUAUCCUAAUACUCAUCUUAAACUCUGUUUUUUUUUUUUUUAUACUCUUAUCAAAACAAAUAAAAACUUAACAAAAAAAUAAAGAUUUCAAUUACUCCGUGUUCAAAAGGGAAAAUGGCUAAAUGUCAUGAAAAUCAUACCUCAAUAGUUGAUUUAAAGCAUUUGAACAGAGAAACACCAAGUAGACAUGAUGGACUUGAUAAAACUUCCAAGCAUGUGCAACUGUGGACAUCUAGAACUCGUAAACUUGGUGGAAGCUCUGGAACUUGUAGAAGCCCCUGGCAGUGACUCAAUUCAAGGACUCUCAGUUUAGAAAGUUGAAUGAUGCCUGCAAGUAUGCUACUAAAACAGUCCUUGCUUAGAUUUAGACCUGAAGCGUACAAACCCUCUAAACAUUGCAAACUCCUCAGGUUCUCGGGAAAUCUCUCAAGUUUUGUACAGAAACUGACAUUUAGAAUUUUGAGCGUUUUCAACUUACAAAUGGCCUCUGGAAGACUCACAAGGUUGCUGCAAUCUGCAAGAUUCAAAUGUUGAAGCCCUCUUAGAUAUUGAAUUGAUGCUGGUAGUUCUUCUAUAGCAGUUCCAUCUAAAUGAAGCUCUCUUAUAUUUUCCACAUCCUCGAGGAUUUCCGGAAAGCUCCUUAAUCGUGAACAGCCUGAGCAGAAGAGAGUUGUAAGGGAUUUCAACUCACAUAUGCUACUGGGAAGAAGCUCAAGGUUUUUGCAUUCUCGCAAACAUAACCUAUUAAGUUUAUGGGGACACUCAAUAGUGGGUAGUUCAUUGAUGGCAUUUCCCUUUAAACAAAGCUUCCAUAGGGAUUGCACAUCCUCUUGACAUUCCCGGCAAACGGUGGAUAUCAUUGCUUUACCAUGGUUCUGUUCAUGAUCAUGGGCAUAUAUAAGAUGGAUCCCACACUCUUCUACUUUCACUGCUUUACCUCUCAAGUAGCCACAAAAUGAAGCCGUCAACUGCCUCCAUUUAUUUGAGUGGUACUUCUCCCCAAUCUCAUACUUAGGAUAAUAAAUCAUCCACAUAUAAGGUACAACAUUGCCGUAAAAUGAGGGAUAAAACUGGAGUUUAUCCACAAACUGAAUUUCAUGACCACGCAAAGUCAAACCAUACUCGAAGUAAGUUGCAUCAUUCUCCAGUGUCUCCUCAGAUUCAUUAUCAAGUGGAUAAUAGACAGAGUACAAAACAAAACCCAACAAGUCGUCAUUUUUAUACCAAUUUUGAGGAAGCUUUGCUACUACUUCAGCUCCCUUUUUGUGAUGGCUUAUCCAAUUUGGAAUUCCACAACUUUCUGAAAUAAUAAGAUUUACUCGGGCAAAAGGUUUUUCUAAAGGAUAAAUCUUGCAUUCCAAAUCCUGCAGAAAAUUUAAUUAACACGUAAAUCCCCAUGUCUCCACAAAAAAAGUUUUGGUCUAUGAAUAUCAUACCUGAAUCAAUGAUUUGAAGCAGUUGAAUAGAGAAGACCAGAGUAGACCUGAAGAAGUUUCCAGCCGUUUGCACGAUUGUACAUCUAAGACACGCAAACUGGAUGGAAGCACUGGAAUUUGUCGAAGCUCUUGACAGUUACUCAAGACAAGGAGUCUCAGCCUAGAAAGUUGAUUGAUCCCAGCAGGUAUGCUCCUAAAAAGAUUCCCGAUUAGAAGUAAUUCUUGCAGAGAUGAUAGCUGGCAAAUUUCAGUGGGGAUUCCUCCUUCAUCUAUACCGCAGAAAGAUAGAUCUAACACUUCCACGGAGUACAAGCAGCAAAUAUCACUCAGGACUACUCCUUGCAUUAGCUUUGAGUAAAUAAGAUCCAACUCCUUUAAGGAGCAUAAACCUGACAAAGAAAGCAAUUGGCAACAUCUUGAAUUUAAGCCCCUAGCACGGAGACGCUUCAAGCUUUGCAGCCUCCCCAGGUUUUGUGGCAAUUUGUGGAGUUUUGAACAGAAAUUGACAUUGAGAUCCUCAAGAAAGCGUAAAUUACAAAUGCUUUCUGGAAGAGUCACAAGGUUUUUGCACCUCCCCAGAUUCAAAACUUGAAGCCUAUUCAAACGUUCGAUUGAAGAUGGUAGCUCUUUUAUAGCCGUUCCAUUCAAGUGAAGCUGCCUUAAGUUUUCCAUAGUCUCCAAGAUUUCUGGGAAGUACUGUAAUUGUGAACAGUCAGAGCAAAAGAGAGAUUUUAGGGAUUUGAACUCCCAAAUGAUUGUUGGUAGACUCUCAAGGUUUUUGCACUCUCGCAAACAUAAGGUAUCAAAUUCAGAGGCACGCUCAAUGGGUGGUAGGCUGAUUGUCUGACACUUUAAACAAAGCUUUCGGUGUUCCACAUUCCUCUGACAUUCAGCGCAGCUAGCUUCCACAUCCUCAGUCUGUACUAUUGGAUCUUGGGCGUAUAUAGGUUCAAGCCCACACUUGAGCACCUUAAAAUGAUUGCGACAGCCCAUAAAUAUAGCCCCAAGAAAAAUGGAUGGAUUGGUGUGACAGCUCUCCAGAAUAGCAGCCUUGGGAUAGAAUAUCACCCACAUUUGUUCUGAUCCACCUCCAUCAUGGUAGCAUUUACAAGUAGUGCGAAAACUCAGAUGUUGCACACACAGUGUAGAAAAUCCAUAUCUAUCAUGCAAUGACAAUUGACAUUCUAACUCAGUGGAGAUUGAAGAUUCAGCUUCAAGAAAAUCGUCAUAUUCAUUUAGGGCUUCAUCAUCAGAUUCAUUCUCCGAUUUAUGUGCAAAAUCAUUUUCUGGUAUGUCCUCACAUUCAUCAAGUGGAGCAUAAACACAGCAUAUAGCAAUUCCCAAGAAGUCAUUAUUUUCGUAACAAUUCCGAGGAAGGUCCAUUGUGAUCCUAUUUUCCUUUCUCUGAUUCCUUAUCCAGUUGGGAAUUCCACAGCUUCCCGGAACAACAAUACAGAUUCCAUGGCCAAUGAAGUAAGAAUCAGAGAGAAAUACUACGUUUGAACUGCUCUUGUAUUUCAAAUCCUGUACAAAAGGACAAUGUAAAUCCUGUGGGUCUGUGGCAUUAUGUGAGUUUUUAUGAGAUAGUUUGUUGUCAGUUUUUGAUAAAUUGAUUCCCAGUUUUAACUUUCUUUGAUCUAUGCUCCUGAAUCUACUUAAUAUCCCUUUUAGAUGACGGAUUAUCAAUCAACGUGAAAGUGAGUGACAAGAUUAAGUGUGAAAACUGGAAGUGAGGGGAAACUGAAACUGAAAGUGAGUAGAAUAACCAGAUCUCGUCUUCACUUGCAGUAGCUUCUUCUCCAUACAGAUUCAGAGAUCUUAAAAUUGUAGAUUCAACUUAACUCUCAGAAUCUUAAAGACAAAGUUCGCUCAAGUUUCAAAAACUCACAGAAAAAUUUCUCCUCAUGUUUCUCUUAAUCCUAUAAGGCGAGAGACAUGUAGCACAAACUUAUUGGCUUUUUUCCAUGCAAGUUUCAAGGUGGAGCGUCUAAUGAUAUAAAACAUUCCCUCAAAUCCCAGUGGAAAUUCACACUUGAAAUUGCAGAAUUUGCUAAGGGAAACUUUAAUUCAUUUCAUCCAUGAAUAAAAAAGUAUGUGAAGGCAUUUUAACUUCCUAAUAAUUGUUAUGUUAAACUAUAAUUCUCAUUAUUUAAACUCAUGAUCCUUCACUUCAUCACCACAUUUUGAAGAGACUUUUGUCAUCUCUUCCAUGAAUUAAUUGAUGUUUAAGGAGGUAUAAUAAACUUUUAAUUGAAUUUAACAUUAUUUAUAUCGUUAUACUCAUCUUAAACUAUUAUUUUUUUUAUACUCUUAUCAAAAUAAAUUAAAACUUAACAAAAAAAAAAUUAAAGAUUUCAAAACAAACUUUAUAAAUUUAUCAACACUUAUUUACAUCAUUCUUUAAAGAAAUAAAUUUAUAAUUAAAAAAAAAAGAAGUGAUUUAAGAAUUAUAAAGAAGAAAAUUUUAAGAAAAAAUGUACUAGUUAUUUGAAAUAAAAUAUAAGGGAAAUCAAAAUUCUUAGUAAAUGAAUCCUCAAAAAAUUGUAACAGCUAUGCAAAUGAGAAAAAAAAUUAAAAGUAAAAAAAAAUUAUCAAUGUCAAGAAUGAGAAACAAUUUUUUUCUUUUUCUUUUCGUAAGUUUUUUUAUUCUUAUUUAAUGUAUUCAUUACAAUUUUUAAAUUAAUAAAUAAAGUUUUUAUCACAAAAUUUUAAAAUGCCAUGUAUGCUUCAAAAUUUAUAUAUUGUUAUUAGAUUUUUAUAAAUUUCAUUUAUAUCUUCAAAAUUACAAUUAUUAAACUCACAUUUUAAAAUAAGAUAUCAUAUAGUUAUUUUUUCAUCCUUUAGCAAUAUAAAACGUUUUCGUACUUUAAUAAAAAAAACUUUUUUUUUUCUAAAUAAUGACUAUUUUGUAUAAUAUUAGUAUAAACUAUUUAACAUAUAAGUACUACUCAUUCAAUAGUUUAUUUUUUUAAUUUAUUAGAGAAAGAGUGGUGCAUAUAUAAUUCAAAUAAAAGGUAAUUUCAUAUUGCAAAAAAGUUUGUGGAAAAAGGAAAUUUGAACAAGCAUUGAAAUUUAUAGGAACAAUAUUGGAAACCUAGUUUUAGGUUUGUCCCAUACCAACAAUCAUGACUUGGUAGUAGCCUAAUCUCAUAUCUAACUUUGUCAAGCCCUUCCUUUACUAAGUUGAUCAAACAAGUUGUUAAAAAGCAUAAUACAAUAUUUUUCACUUUCACCUUGUUGAGUCUUCGAUAAUCUAUACACAUUCAAAGGGAUCCAUUAUGUUUCUUUUAGAAUAAUAUUGGUGUGGCAUACGAAGCUUUAGUUUGUUGGAUGUAUCCCAUGUUAAGCAACUCCUUAAGUUGUUUCCUUAGUUCUUCUAAAUUACGUAGUGCCAUCCUAUUGGACCUCCAUGGCAAAGGGCUUAGCUCCUGGCUCUAAAUCAAUCUUGUGCUCCCCUUCCCUUAUUUGUGUGAAUUUCUUAUGUAAAUUUAAUGGCAUCUAAGGAUGACAAAGUUUGAUACAAUUUGUACGUCAACCAGACUUGAACCCGAGCAUUUUUAGUGAGUUUGUGUUUCCAUACCGUAAGUUGGAUUCAUGAAAGUCUCAGACUUGAAUCAAUUGAAUUAAAAAUAAAUAUUCAUGUUGUUAUUAAUUUAGUUUCUUUUACUUAGUUUUACUAAAUAAAAUUUUAUUCACAUAUUGUUUUUCACUUUAGGAUUUAAAUAAAAGUGAUUCAUUUAUCCUAGUAUUGACAAAUUCCAUAGCCAGACCUAGAGGAUGAUACUCGGAGUACUAUAAAAGUUGUAGUGACUUUUUCUCUGAUUUUUCUUAAUCAAAGUUACUACAUAAAAAGACUUAGUAUUUGAACAAUAGAGAAGAAUGGUCAAAAUUCAAGUAAAAUGGAAUGAUUAAUAUUAAUGAAUUUUUACCAUAAUAAAGAAUGAUACUUGAUUCUAGACUACUUAGGUAUGGAUUAAAAGAUUAACAUUAGAUAGAAUAACUCACGUAUAUUAAAGCAUUUUGCUAAGUUCUUUUUAUCCUUGAUCUUUUAUGAGAUUGAGCCAAUAAGGUUACACUUAAAAAUUUAAUGUGUUUGAAACACUCCUCUAAAAUCAAUCAUUCAAAUAUUAGAAAACAAGUAAAAUAUUUUUCAUAUGCUGAUUAAUAUACCCAAGGUAGUUCUUGAAUUAUCCUAACACAAAUAUCUUGCGAGUCUUAAUUUUGUCAAAUCAAUAUAUAUCUUUAGAUUUCUAAAGAAACUACUAUACUCGCGCACAUUCAUCCAUGAGUUAGGUAGAUUUUAUCUCUUGUAAGAGUUCAAAGAUACUGCAAACAAAAUUCACUGUACAAUUAAUAUCUCUCAAUGGUAUGUUAUUCAACUAAAACUAGUAGUGUCUUAUGUUAAUGGGCUUAGUUUUAUAAUGUAAAACUAGAUCUUUAAUACAUUAAUAGCUCUCAUGUUAUCACAAGGCAUAAUUAUGAUUUAUCACUCUCACCAUAAUCCUUUUAACAUACGUUUUAUCGAAAGUAAUUGCUUGGUUUGUUAGCUUCUUAUUAAGCUAGGCAACUGAGCAAUUAAAAUAUAGAAACAUCCCCUAUAAGUGUUCUUCCGUUCUUUAGACCUUCCAUCCCUAUUCAACAUUUGUAUGAAAAAUGUUGUCUACAAAUAUAUUGGUGUAAUACCACAAUCCAAGUUUAUAAGUACCAACCACAAAUAUAAUGAUUCUAUUAACAACUCCAAGGUGUGAUUUCUUAGGAAGAUUCUUAUCACGCAUAAACUCCAGUUCUAUAGGUUUAUCCAGCCUAAAUGUCAUUACAUAAAGAAGGCUUCCAACCAUUGAUCUACAGGUGGAUAGAUUUACAAACUUACCACUCCCAUCUCUUGUAAAAAUUUUCCUACAACUUUUCUAUUGUCGUGACCUAGCUAAGUUCAGCCAUUUUAAUUUAGCUUAUAGAGAGGGCCCCAUCGCUAACAUUUCCAAUCACAUUGUUGAUAGGAUGAUCACUAAUUUCUCUAAUUUUGCUCCAUGUGGAUGUUUGCUUGAUUUUCAUUGAGUUCAUUCACAUUCUCAAUCAUUCAACUCUUUUUUCUCACCUAAAUCUAGAAUGUUUGAUGAAAUAUCCUUAAGAAAAACACAUUAUUUUCUUUACUUCCUUAGUCAUCUAUCAAUACAUUGAUCGAUUCAAUUACAACUCUUUAAUUAUUAAAGAAGAUCUUAAAGGCUUUAAGCCAAGUUGAGUAUCUAACAAAAAUUCUUUCAACAUGCUUUGAUUCAAACAUCCCUAAUUUUUUAGAAUUGUUUGGAUAAGACAUUGUUCCUAAAAACUAUAUUUUACAUUAAGCUUCCUACUUGUCUAAACAUCAUAGCAAGUCCUUUUGGUUCUAACGUAUAGGUGGACUCAAUUAGAAGUACAAGAUGUUGUGUUUAUGGGUUAACCUGACAAGUUGUUAGAGCCUUUGGAUUAAUCCAUUCUAAACCUAGGAUCGUUGGGGUGUUUGCAAAAACUAUCUUAAGGAUCUUUAGAUCUACCCAACAAAAGCAUAUACAUGAAAAAAAUACACCUGCAAACUUUAUGUUUCCAAAAUGAUUUCAGUCUAUGAAGAAGCUAGUGCAAAUCUCAAAAACCAAGAGAUCUUUUGCUCAAUGGCUCUCUUUCCUGGAUCUAGGCACUUGUAGAUGGUGAAAUCCUCAUAGAAGGGUGGAUGCUAAGGUUCCUCUCUCUAGAUUCUAAAGAAAUGGAAGAAGAAUAAAAAAGUCCUAACCCUUAAAUGGGUUUAUAUAGGAUUCCCUAUGGGCUUAAGUGACUUGAGUCUAUCUUAGGCUUAGGGGUCGCUAAAAAAAGCCCACUUGGAUCUUAGUUAAAUAAUUAGCCCUAUUAAGGUCCAAUUAAUUAAUUAUCCUUUUCCAAAAACAUCAUUCAUAAGAUCUAAAACAACUUUGCAUUUUUACCAAAACACCCUUAUGCACAUGUAUGAAUAAAUAACCUAUACAUCCCUUAAGUAAUGUGUCACAUAGAAGUAUGAACUCAAGUAGGGACCAUUAGGAGUGGUAGGAAAAUAGUGGCUCCUGUAUAAUUUAAUUCUAAAGUUGACUUAACAUCCUUCUACAAAAAAUCAAUUGCACUCUAAUAUCCUAUGAUAUUACAUUAAUAUAAAAUACAUGGGUUUGUGACCUACUAACGACUAAAAGCUAGCUCCUCAUGAAUUGGCGUCCAUAAUAUAACAAGGUGAACACUUUCAAUCUUUUAAGAUUAACUUUACAAUCCUUAUGUUAUAGAUCAUCCCAUUAAGUGAUAAAUUGACAUACUAUAACCCACAACGAACAUAUGGUAACUUCUACUAAACGAAUUACUGCAACCAUAGAUUUUGUCAUGACUACCUCAAUAGCUAAUGUCAUAAUUCAUUGUAAAUUUUGUCUAAUGUGCAAUAAUAUAUACUAAUGCACUCACCUUAGAAACCUCAUCCGAAUGACUAAGAUAAGUCAACUCGCUAAUUAGAAGGUAGUGCACUAUAAUCUCAAAUGGAUUGCCUAAAUUCAUCAACCAACUAUGAACAAAUCAUAAAUCUUGCAAGGAACCCAUGACUUGAAUCUUUCACAUAACUGCUAAUGUACUUAAGUUAUGUAUAAUACCACUACUGCAUGCAUGAAUACUCAAAUCAAUAUCAAUGUGAACAUGGAUAAAUUAGUGGAAACUCAAGCCUAACGGUGUUACAUCAUCUCUUGCUUGCAAGGGCUUUACCUUAACACCAAUAAUCAGGUAGGUUCUUGAAAUCCAAUAUAAUAUGUGCUAUUUCUUGGAGCACUUUAUUUUUCCUUUCAAUAACUUCAUUUUCUAUGGAGUUUUAGAUGUUGAAAGCUCUUCUUUAAUUUCCUUCUCACAAAAACUCUAGAAGUUAGAAUUACAAACUCAUUUCCUCUAUUAUUUCUUAUUUUUCUUACUUAAAAUUCAUUUUUAUUCAUCAUUUGAAAGCAUAACACUUUGAAUUUUAGGAUGUACUUCUUUCUUUCUAAGCAUUGCACUCUCAUAGGACCUAUGAUGAAAAUAUCGUUAAUCAUGGAUAUAUCGAUACUUCGAUUUUACGGAUAUAUCGGAGAUAUAUCGACGGAUAUUUUGGAAAAAAAUAUCGAUAAGUCUAAAACUGAUCAGAAUUUGUAAAAAUAUAAGAAAAACUUCAUAAAAAUGUAAUGAGAAGUAUAAUGAUAUUUUUAAACUGUUUUAUUAAAUAAUUUGAUAUAUGUAUAAUAUGAUUUAUCAUAUUUGAUAAUAAUAUCGUAUGCAUCGACAAAAAUAUGAAUUUUAUAAGUGUACAUUUAUUAUUAAAUUACAUUUAAUAUUAUGAUAUUUGAUUAUAAUAUGUAUAAUUUUAAAAUAUAUAUUAAUAUUAAAAUUAUGAUACAUUUAAUUCAAUUGUAUUAAACAAUAUAAAAUAAAUUAUAAUAUAUGUACAAUUUUUUAAUAUUUAAUUAAUUAUUAAUGAUAUUAAAAGCACUAUGAAGAAAAUUUUAUAAUUUUAAUAUUUUUGGUAAUCAAUUAAAAGAAAAUUUUGCAUUUAAUUAUAAAAUAAUUAUAAUUAAUUUGCUCUUUAAAAUAUUUUUUUUAAUAUUUUCCUUAUAUAAUAAGUUUAACUAUAUAUAUGUUUAGUACAUAUCAUAUAAUAAGGGUAAGUUAGCUUGGAUGGCAAGUGGGUUGAACCUCAAACCUUUUGGUUUGGGGUUCGAAUCCCCUCAACUUCAAAAUGAAGGGUUAUCGCUGAUUUUUUUGGAUUUCUCUCGAAAUUUCGUCAGAUCGAUAUUUCUCCAUGAAAUAUCGUAUCGAUACCCUCCGAUACAUGAUACAUUGGCGAUAUAUUGCCAACAUAUCGCAAUAUUUUCUUCCUUGCAUAGGACCCAUUAAAUCCAUAUGUAACAUCUCUAAGAGCCUAGAAAAAGAGAACAUCAUUUUUCUAUCACUCAUGUGAAUUCAUUGUCCUAGGUAGGACAAAUAGGAUUUUUAGGCUUUCCUAAAUGGGAAUUGCUUUAAUUAGUUCUUUAUUUGUAAUCCUAGACAAAUCAUUAGAGUUUAAAUGCGCUAUCAUACAAUGCUACAUGUCUUUGGAUGUAGAUUUCACAUUUUACAACUAUGUGCACUAUAGAUGAUGAGGAAAAAGUAGAGAGGUGUACAAAAGCAUAACAAAAAUUAUCAAAAAUUCUAUUUCUUACCAACACACAUCCUUGAAUAGACACUGAUUUUGAGUAAAAUGAACAAAGCACAUACAAUCACAAAUUUAACUUGCGUUAAUUAAGUUUGCUUUCAAUCACUCAAUAUAUAGUAACUCCUCGAGUAUAGGUAAAUUUGGACCUUCUAUGGUACAUUUCGCUUUCAAGUUGGUUAUACAUAAUGCAACCAUCCCCAAAUACAACCAAGCUUCCCUUUAUAGGUUCAAACAUGGAGAAAGACUUUAAGUUCAUUGUUGCUUUUACCAUUCCCAAAUACAACCAAACUCCUAUGAGUUCAAAAUUCAAGAAAGAUCUAAGUUCUCUCUCAUACAACUAGAGUAGCCACUCUCAAAAUCCAAAACGUGUUUUUCUCUAGCUCUUAGGCCCUAUGAUCAACUAAGGCUUUUAGGUUCUCCGUAACCCAGAUUUUCUUUCCAAUGGGCGAUUUAAAACCUAUUCAAGAAUUGUUUUUAAAAUUAAUUUUUCAGUUCUUAAAAAUAGAAACCUAUUUUCUAGACUAAAACCAUGUUUGGCAACUUUUUGACAUAUUAUAGUUUGUUGAGAAUUUGUUCUGAAAAUAAGGUUUCUCCUAAUAACAUAUUUUAAUUGCUUUCAAUUGUUUUCAUUUAUUUUAUAGGGUUGUUUUAAGAAAAUAAUAAUAAAAAUAUAAAGAAUGAUGAAACAUAAACUAAAAACAAAAGUUAUUUUUAAGAAAUAUUUGAAAAUACAAAAAAUAUAUUAAAAAUGUUCUAAGUUUUUAAAUAGGCUUUUAUUUUAGAAGACAUUAGACCAACUAUUUUUGAAAACUUUUUUCAAUAACGGUUUUUUGAAGAAUUAUUUUCAAAAAAAUUCCUAAACAAACCCCUAACCUCUGAGGAUCUAAAACUUUGCACUAAGUUUGGCUUACAUUCAACUUCUUUUAUGGACAAAGCAAUGGAGCUAGAACAGAUUUCUUUCAAUUUAGUCAAUUCUUAUUUACGUGGCUCAUAAUCAGAUUGUAAGACAUUCAAUUUUUUUAACAAGGCACCAUGCUCAUUUUCAAGGUAAGAGAUUUUUUUCAAGCAAGGAAAUCUUCUCUCAUACUUCUUUUAUUCUCAUCCAACUUUCACAAUUUUCAUCUUAAGGCACUGAUCAUACAAGGCUUCCUAGGCAAUCUCAAAUUACAACUUUUCUUCCAAAUAUGUUGUAUCAUGAGAUGAACCUUCAAAAUUUUCAGAUUCAAGAUCAGUUUCAAAUUUAACAUUUUUCUUUUCAUUGCGAAGUGAUAUAGAAGGUUACAAGUAUAUCAACAAUUUCGUCAAGCAUAUCGUGCUCUAAAAGACACAAAUAUCAUCAACAUCAUGUGAUAAUAAUCAUAAUUAUGUUUAUGCAUGUUUCUAGCAAAUUAAUGCAAUGAAAUUUGUACACUCUUCAUCAAAAUCAUACCAAAUUACUUCUAUGACCUUAUCCUUCUGACAUUCAAGUAAGUGACCUUUCUCCACACAGUAGAAACCUUGAAUCAACUAGAUCUUUUUUGUGUUUUUUUUUUCUUUUUAUCACAUUUCUUUUCCCCUGUUUAUGGUCUCAAAUAGGUUAUCCUCUGUUUCUUGAAGCUUUUUGAACUUUUUGAAACUUUAUCAAGCCUAUAAAUUUCAAAUAUUGGUCAUUUUUUAUUCCUAUUCUGAUUUAAAUGCAUGUUCAUCUACUUUUAGUGCAAUAUUAAUGUUUCUUCCUCUUAGGAACAAUUGGGGUCAUCUCUAAUUGAAGGGAGCCAACUAUCUCAUCUAGCUUAAUUGAAUCAGCAGUGUUCCAUUCCUCUAUUGUUAUGACCUUAGGUCUAAAACGAACAGAGAAGAUCUUAACAGUUUUCAGGUAACCUUGGAAUCAAGUAAAGGCCUACAUAGAUUGAAAGUUAGCAUUCACAAUGUCCAUGAUUUCAAUAAUAUAUUCAAAAAAUAUUUUUGUUGUGAUCAUUUGAAAUUCAUUCCUUCACCUAUCCUACCUUUACAUAGUUUUACCUACCCUAGUGGAUAUAUAUCCUAUCUCUAUUUAGCACCAUAUGAGGAUAUCAACCAAAUUGAACAGAACUCCAAUCUCUGUUAGACUUCAUUUUAAGGAAGUAUAUCAGUUUUACCUUGGAAUGAGCAUAAUUAUCUCCUUUGAAGUAUGGAGGUCCACCUAUAGAGGUUCCUUCUCGGAGAAUUUCCAUCUUAAGAGAAUAUAGUUUAUCCGUAUUGAGAACAUGAGCAAACAUGUUUUGAUACAAUUUAUGAGUUUUUAAGAGAGUAUGCUAUGAACUUGAGAUCUCUUUUAGAUGAUCAAAUAACAUAUGCACAUGAAUGUCAUUGAGUGAUUAGCACAAGGUCACAAACCUCCCUAAUGAAAUCUCAACCAAAAAGCACACAAAUAUUGCACAAGAUAUAACAUAAAAAAAAUCUCUAAGUGGAGAAAGGAAAAAAAAAAAAAAACCAAUGGGUGCCUUUGUUGUUGCAAAUCCACUAUGAAUAUAAAUCCAGUUUUGCCUACAAUUCCCUCCACCAGUGAAAACAAAUGGUCUUAUAUGAUCAACUCCAUUUACUAUAGGGUUAUAAAGGAAACACUUGUGGGCUGGCAGGCAGUAGCUCCUCCCAACUCAUCAUAUUUCCAACCCCAUUUGCUCCAUCAAAUUCAUAAGAAGCUAACAAAACAACUAGCAUUUUAUAUCAUACAAUAUCUAUGCUAGUUAAUUUGCAUGGAAAAGACAAUUUCUACCCUAAAUAUGCCAACAUACAGGAAGACAUACAAUUUAUACAAACAUUGUACGCUAACACAAGAAAAUCAUACCUCACUUGCUGAUUUGAGGCAAUUCACCAGAGAAUGCAUAGGUGGCAAUGAGGUCCCAAUUGAGCUGUGCAUAUCUAACAGUCGCAGACUUGAAGGAAGCUCUGGAAUUUGUGAAACCUUCUUGCAGUGACUCAAGUCAAGGGCUCUAAGGUUAGAGAGCUGACUAAUACCCACAAGCAUGUCACUGAGGGUUCCUCCUUCCUCUGGAUUGCACCGACUUAGAUGUAAUACUUCCAGAGAGGAUAGAUGGAAAAUACAAUGGAAGACUCCUCCAUUUAGAUUGCAGUUUCUUAGACUUAAUUCUUUCAAUGCGUUCAAGCAGUUAUCACUCUUUAUUACUCCUGGUGUUAGAUUGCAUUGAUCUAAAUAUAGUUUCCUUAAGAGAGAUAAACCUGACAAAGAAGGCAAUUGACAACUGAGCGAAUUUAAAGAAAGAACCUCUAGACAUGGCAUUCUCUCCAGGUCCUCCGGCAAUCUGUCAAGUUUUGAACAGCCUUCAAGACUUAGAACUUCAAGAAAUCUCAAAUUACAAAUGCUGUUCGGGAGACCUUCAAGGUUUUUACAAUUAUCCAAAUACAAGUUGCGAAGACCUUCUAGAAGUUCAAUCGAUGAUGGUAGCUCUUUUAUAGCUGUAUUAUCUAAACUAAGCCUCUCUAGUUUUCCAAUACUGCGCUUGAUUUUUGGAAAACUAGUUAGUUGUGAACAGCCACUGCAAUGAAGUAUGAAAAGGUGUUUCAACUUAUGAAUGUCCCCAGGAAGAUUCUCAAGUCUUACACACCCUAUAAAAUUCGAGGAAAAAAAAAAGUUAGUUUAAUAACAACACUCUUAUAUGUGUGUGAACCUUAAGUAAAAUUAUACAACCUGAAAGAUUAAGUUCCUCCAAAUUUGGCACGUUUGAGAAAUUUGGUAGUUCAAUAAGCUGUUGUGAAUCAUUGAGAUUGAUGUACCUUAAAUUUCUAAGACACUGGAACAAAAUAGAAUUUCUAUUAAUAAAUCAAUUUUAACCAACUUUAAAAUAUUAUAAAACAAAAGCAUAAAUAAAUGAUUAUCAUACCAUGUUUCCUUUCCAAAGUCGUUUUAUGUUACUAUUGCUCAAACCGAGGAAAACAAGAUCAUUUGGAUGAAAGUUUGGUGGUAGAGAUUCUAAAGAAUAUCCAUCCCAACCGAGACAUGUCAAGUCAUCAGACGGAAAUACAAAAUCUUCAGGAAGUUGUUCUAUGCAAUUGUGGGAGAGGAUAAGCAAUCUAAGUCUAUUCAUCCUUUUGAAAGCUUUGCAUGUAAACUGUAUCUGUUCUGAUGUGUCCAUAUGAAAGAAUAUCCCUUCAAUUUUUUCAGUCCCCUAGAUAAUAAGAGUAUAAAAUUAGAAAAGCACGAUACAUGUAAAUCCUUACUAAGGUGAUAUAGAUGAAUAUAUAUAUAUAUAUAUCUUACCGUGUUUCUUUUCAAUACUCGAUAAAUAUCUGUAUGUCUCCAUAAUCUGCUCCUCUCUCCUGGCUCAUUAGGACAUUCUUCAUCAACAAUGCCCUUGCCCAUUUGGGCUAACAAAUCAUGCAUAUCUAUUGUAUUGUCCUCUAAAAUGGUUAUGAAACAUCUAUCAACGAGAACAUUUAUUCCACUUUCCGCUUCGCAUCCGGAACCAUCCAAUAUUCUUGAAACUGCUUCCACAUCACCUCCUUGAAAGAAACAUGCAAUGUCGAGAAAUAUCAUCUUUUGUGUAUAAUCCAAUCCAUCAAAACUUAUUUUAAGCACUUUUACAAUUUCCAUGUUAGGCACCUUUCCCAACUUCCGCAAUUCGCUUUUCCAAUCUGAUAGUCUCUUUCCAAAUAAUAGAGAACCCAAAACUUUAAGUGCUAAUGGAAGACCAUCAGCAUAUCGUACUACUUGAUGAGAGAGAUCUCCAUAACCUUCCUUCAGAUGAUGUUGUUUAAAGGCAUAAAGACAAAAAAGUUGAAGAGCUUCGUGAAAAUUUAAUUUCUCAACUUCAUACAUUUUCAUUUCAUGCCUAGUUAGCAAAUCUUUUUUCCUUGUAGUAAUGAUGAUUCUACUUCCUGGACCAAACCAAUUAUGCUUUCCAAUCAAGUGUUCUAAUUGUGUCAGCUCAUCUACAUCAUCCAGAAAAACAAGAACCCUUUUCGAGGAAAGCUUGUCCCUUAUUUCUUUGAUACCCUCAUGAACAUUCCUUAAAACUAUUUUCCUCGUUGUCCCUAGAAUAUCAUUAAGAAGUUGUUGUUGUAACUUAAGAAGACCACCAGAAUUUUCUGUGGAUUCUUUUCUGACAUCUGUGAGUAAGCUUACACUUUCGAAUUGAUUUGAGAUUCGGUUAUAAAGAGCAUUGAUGAUGGUGGUCUUGCCGAUACCACCAAGCCCAUAAACCCCGACCAUGCGAACAUCAUUCAACCCAAUCUCCAACAAUGAUAUUAGUCUUUCCAAACGAUAAUCCAUUCCGACAAUGUUCUCGGUAACAGCUAAAGUCUUAGGGAAGCUUCUAGGGACGUUCUCAAUAAUUUUAUCAAUAAGCUCUGUUUCAUACCUGCGAAUUGCAAAGCAUAAUGGGACAUGUGUACUGGCGCAUUAGGAUGAGUUGCAAAAAAUAAUAAAUUAUAUGAAAUAAAUUUAAUGAUGCCUAGUUUUCCAACUAUAACUUAGCAGGGCUAAAAGGAAUUUAAAUUAAAAUAAAAUAAACCACAUCUAUCAAACUACUCAUGAGUACAGUUUCAUUAUUCAAUAUAUAUGAUAGAAAUAAGAGAAGAAAAUGCAAAAUAUGAAUUGCAUUAUCAAAAGUGGAAAAAAAAACACUAAAAUAUUUUGUGUGUUAGCUUAUACUAUUCAAUCUUUUGAAAGGUUCAAAAUAAAGUUGAGUUGUCUAGAACAUUACUACCCUAUUUUGAUAAGGGAUUCCAUCAUAGGAUCAACUGCGCAUCCAAGCUUUUUAAUCUAAUAAUUUUACUACUGAUUAGAUGGUCAAGUUUAAAAUUUUAAUGAACAGAUCUUUAUUUUAUAAAUAAUAAAAAUAAAUAAAAAAUUAUAAAAGUUUAAAACUCACUUUAGCUUUAAGCGGUUAGUCAAAUAUCUCAUACUAAACAAGUUAGAUAUUUUUUAUAUCAGCAGAAAGAAAAAAGGACAGUGCUUCAAAUGACAAAUGAAGAGAAAUUACAAUUACCUGUCCUUCGCAUCAUAUCCGGCUAGAUUGCUUGCUUGCCUCAGGGCAAUCUUCCAUUUCCUUAUCUUUUCCUUUCUCUCCUCAUCUGCAUUCUUCUCAUGAUGGGUAAAUGCUUCUCCGUAAAUCUCAGUUUGGUUCCGCAGUUCAGACGGAUCUACAUGAUAGAAAAUUGGGAUAACUACCAUUUGUUCCCUUUCCUCUUUGCAUUUCAUGAUCUUGACAAGCUCUUCCAGACACCAUUUGGAAUGAGCAUAGGUUUUUGAGAAGACAAUAAUGGCACUCCUUGAUUCUUCAAUAGCUUUUAAGAGCUCUGGUGCAAUCUCUUCUCCCCUUGGAAGCUCUUCAUCAUCUCUGAAGGUAUGAAUAUUGUUACGAAUCAAAGCCGAGUAGAGGUGAUCGGUAAAGCUUUUGCGAGUAUCUUCACCUCUGAAACUCAAAAACACAUCGUAGCUCCACUGAGAGCGAGAAGUGAAAGAAGAAGAGGAUCUCUGGAUGCUAGGGGAGGCCAUGGUUGAACAGAAAUUGGAGGAAAAAUAAGGGCCUUCGGGUAUUCAGUGACUUAAUUCCCCUAGCCUUAAUGUGAAGUUUGGAUGUUGGUGGUGGGAUGUGCUUUUUCUUUCUCAAUUAUUUCUCCUUAGCUGUAUCCCUCUAGCUUUGAACUUUCACUUUUGUCCCUUUUGGCAGUCAACAAUGGCCGGCACUCUUCUCUCUGCAAUUUCCAAUUAAUUUCUAAAAUGUAAAAAAUAAAAAAUGAUCAAAUCCAUGUGGUCUUUACUUAGGUCAUAAGAUCGUGUGAACACACAUUAAAUUAAAGUUAUUCAAUUAAGUUUUGUCUUUUCCAUAAUUAGCAAUAUUACGGUAGAAAAUAAAGGUUUAUUAAGUUGAUAUGUCAAGUAAAGCUAACAACUUUGGUAUUAUAAGCUUGAUUUUUGUAGAUGGAAAAAUAUAAUGAGUCAUAUGACAAAAAAUAAAGAAAAUUUUGAUCUUGAAGAAUAGAAAGAAGCACAAAACCUUCAUGAAAGUUUAGGGAAGAAAGACCAUGCUCAAAACUCCAAAUUUAAAUUCUCACGGACUUUUCACAUUUUGCAGCUGGCUUUAUUAUUAAUAGAAGCACAUAAAUAAAUAUUGUAAUUAAAUCCCACUAAUUUAUAGGUCAUAAUGGUAUAUAUCGGUCAUCACAGUAAUUGAGUGGGAAGGUGGGUACCUGUAAAAAGAAUAGACCAAACCAAUCACCCUAAAGUACCUUUAUCAUAAAAGUCAUUGAGGUCCUAAUGGUAAUAAUGGUGGAUAUCUUUGGAAAGAGAAAACAAUCCUAAAUUUCAAAAGAACGUCUGUUUCUUGGCAAUUGUAUCCCCGACAGCCUUAUCUUUUUUUACUUUAUAUCUUUUUAUUAUUAUUAUCGUGAGGAUGGUUAAAGAUGAUAUUAGAUAUGUAAUCUUUCUAUGGUUUAAAAAUGAAAAAUGUGAGUGUUAAGUUGGCAUUUUUACCAUUUAGAAAAUACUUGAUUUUAAGAUCAUUAAUAGGAAGAAAUAAAGAGUUCCAAAAAAUAAAGAAGCUUUUAUUGACUAAUCUAGGCAACCCCUUUCUUGGCUUUUAAUUGUAUCUACUUUGUCGAAAAUCUCAGUCAUUCCUCCUUGUCUUCCUUUUGUUAUUCCUAAGUUCCAACUCUUUUUUUUUUUUUUUAAAUAAUAAUAUUAGUUUUAUGUUUUAAUGAAAUGGGUUGCAAAUUUGAAGAAAACAUAUUCUUGUGUAUUUAUUGACUAUGACCCUUUCUUCACAAAGGUUAACGUUAUUUACAUUCUCAAACUAAUCUUUGAUGAGUUUGAGUUUUUCUUUACUAACAAAACUUCUACCAUAUCUUUCUUGUAGGAACAAAGUCAAAUGACCAUAUUUUGAGACUUAUAUGAAUGGUCUCAACCAUCCAAUCCAAAUACCUACUCAACCCACAACUUCACUCCCACCAAACAACCUUUCGACUAUUAACAUUAUACUAAGAUUUCUUACCUUUGCUAUUCAAAUUAUCGUAAUAAUGUACAUCUUCUAUUUUAUAUUUUUAAUACAUUCCAUUUAAAUUUAACUUCUUACAUCCUUUAACACCUUAUUGUGCAUUUGUGGUUAUUUUUCUAAGCUGUUUUUUAACUUUCAUUGGUGGUUCAUUGUAAUUAUGUUGGUUACUGGGUUUUUUUAUUCUAUUUUAUGCAAGAGACAUUUUGAAAGGAUUAGGUGCCUUCCAAUCUUGAUUUUAGUGAUUUUUAAAUCUUAGUUUAGGACUUUGUUUUUGAUUGAUUUAUAACAUAUUUAGGUUUGUUUAGAAUUUUAAAACUUUAAUUGCAUAAAAUAGAUUCAAGAUUUGAAUUAAUUAAUAAUUGAUUUCAUUCUCCUUUAAAAUGUAGAAUAUGAUAAACGACUUGAUAGCAAAUUCAAACAAAUCUUUAUCCAAAUGAGAAUUUAUGUAAUCUAAUCAUUUUAUUAAAUAUCACCUAGUAAAUUAUAAAAAUAAAGAUAUUAAUCACAUUUGUUAAUAUGUUUUUUUUAAAUUGACAAAUUAUGAUGAAAUUAUAAUCUUUUCAAUAUUUUAUUAAUUAUUAAUUAAAACAUCACUAUAAUUAUUCAAUCCAUGGAAUAUAAAAUGAGUUAUUUUUAGUAAUAAUAAUAAUAAUGAUAAUAAUGAUAAUAGUGAUAAUAAUAAUAAUAAUAACUAAUCAUAUUUGAAUAACAUUUCAUCAAUUAUAUAUCAAAAUAAAGUUGUAUGUUUAUCAUAACCUAUGUUUUAAAACAAAAUAAUAAAAGUUAUAUUUCCCUUUAAAUGUAUUUACAUAUCUACCUCCAUAGUCCAUGGUAUUAAAAUAAUCUAAUAAAACACAGUAUCCCAUAACCGGGCAACAGCACAGCUGCUCCUAGCUUUAGCCCCUAGCAGCUGCAAUCAGCUUUUCCACUCUCUGUUACAGUCCAGCUUUGGCCGCCCAAGACGUACAUCUUUAAAAGUUGAUUUUAUUUUUUUUAAUUGAAUGUUUUUUUUUUUUUGUAACUCUUCUCGAUUAAUAAAUAAUAAUAAUAAUAAUAAUAAUAAUAAUAAUAAUUGGAUUUGGUUUUUAAAGUUGAGUAUUUUCUUUAACUAAUUGAUAUUAUAAAUAUAUAAAUAAUUUCUACAUUCACAUUUUAUAAAAAAUAAAAAUGUUUCAUUUUGAAAAUUUUAUGCAUUAUUUUAAAAUUUUCAAAUAAAGGAUUAUUUGUAAAUAUUUCUAAAUAUGUUUGAUUUCAAUAAUUGAUAAAUUAUAUAAUCAAAAUAUUAUGAAUUGGUAAAUAUCAAUUAUUGGAUUUUAUGAAGAUAAAAUUUAUGAUAUCAAAUAGUAAUGCAUUAUAUUUAUAAAUAGAUGUAUUUUUUCUAUUUUAAAUGUAAUUAACAAUAUAAAAAAUUAAUUAAUAAUGAUAUAUUUAUGAUAAUUUUUGUUUAAAAACAUUUAUAAUUUUAUUUAAAAUUAAAUUUCAUUUUAUAUUUAAUAAUUAUAUAAAAGAUAAAAAAAAUUUAAAAGUAAAUCAAACUAAUUUAUUUAUAAAAAAUUAUUAAUUUUCACUAUUUUACUUAUUUUACAUAUAUAUGUAUUGGGACUGAAAUCUGUUCUCCAUUCUCUCAUUCUUUCCUCCAUUUCUCUUUCGUUCCUAUUCUCUGUUUCCUUUCUCCUUGUCUUCAUUUCUCUUCUAACAUCCAAACUUUUAUUCAUGACGGUUAAACUAUUUCUCUUUUCUAAGAUCAAAACAUAACUCACUGAGGUUAAAAUCCAGAUUGUGAUUGUUAUAAAAAUUCCUAGUUAGGGUUUUAGUUUUAGUUUUAAUUUUUUUGUUCUUUUUUAUUUUUUGCAUUCUUGGUCUUUUGUGUUAUUGUUUAUGUUUUAUUUGGUUUAUGGGAAAUCCUAGAAUUUAUGAAAGUUUUGGCUUUGAAAUAUCCAAAAAAUAUUGAAAUAGAAAUGACCAAAAAAAAAAAAAAAAUUGUUGAAUAAUGUUGAGUUUUUGGUUGAAUUUUUGUUUGACCGAUUUUUUUAUUUUCCAUUUUCUGAUUUGCCCUCGUAGAGUAAAGAAUUUUCCUUCAUAGUGAAGAGAUGAGAACACUCAAGAACAUUGAUUGAAAAUACGAAAAACAUCUUAUUUUUUUUCUUUUUAGAACAUUGGCAAAAACACGGAAAACAACAUUUUUUUGUUUUUUGAAAACCAGACUUUAGAAAACACGAAGAAUACAUGGGAACAAAAAACACUCUCUUAUCAAACACAUUUUGUGUGUUUUUGUUCUCAAAAACAAAAAACUGUUUUUGAAAACAUUCACCAAACAUGCCCUAUUUUUUGAGGUAAUUCUUUUUAUUCUUUUUCUUUGCGGGGGAGGGGGAGGAAAUUUUGGCGAGCUGUUAGAAAAGGGGAUCUUGUGGCAGUUGGAGUUUAGGUUGCCUCAUGUUCUCUCUCCCUCUCUUUUUAUAUUUUAGUUUUUUUGCAAUAACUUGAACUCAUUUCCUUUGAGAAUUUCAUGUUCAUUUUCCCACACUUUGUUUUUGUUCCUAAAUUUAAUCUUGUGUUUAUGUCUAUCAAUUAGUUAUUUAGGUUGAGGAAAGGGGGCCGGGCCUUAGGUCUUCCCUUUUACCCUUGAAAUGAUCCUCUCACUUUGGGUGAUUAUUGAUUUAACUAGCUUAUAAUUUGGCCGUCUUUAUUUUUUAUUGAAAUCAUCAUACCUUGAUGUUUGGAAAUUGAAGAUUCAGGGCCCUUUUGAUGGACUGUCUAGUGGAGUGUGUGGGCAUAGGAAUGAAUUAACGGAGACGUGAAAGCUUUGAUCAGUCCAUGAAAUACAAAUGAAAGGUUAUCACCAAAAAUUAAGCAUGCGUGCAUUGAUAAUAGACAAGUAAAUGAGAGAAAAUGAACUUCAAAUCUUACUUGACAACGAUACUACUAUAAUGGGAUAUUCCUCAACAUAGUGGUUAUUACUUAAUUUGGUAUCAAUAACUAUGCUAAAACCUUGCCCAUUACUGAAAAUGGACAGGGAAUAAGCAAAAAUAUUAUAAUAUGUCUGUAAUUGAUUCCUUUCAUCAUAGUAACCCAUUGGCCAGAUUGGCUUAGUUAACUAAAUGAAAACCCGAUUUCUUAUAUUUCGAAUGAACCAAAAAGGAUACAGUAGUAAACAGCUAUGGAACCAAUAUGUAUGAGGAUAAAAAACAACAACAAUUUUGAUUGAAACUAAUCUUGAAAUAAUCAAUGGCUAAGUACAUCAGGUUGUGUUUAUAAAGUCCUAGUUCAUAAGCACUAAAUUCUAAUGCUAACACUCUCUCCAAGUGCUUUCAGUCUGCUGCUUCAAUACAAGUACUCUAUAUGUGCGCUUGAUAGUAACUUGCGCUUGAUAAUAACUUCUCGUGUCCUAUAUAUUUAUACCCGAUCAAGGGCUGCCAUUUUAUUAGAUUGUUGAGUAAUGACGCUGCUUGUUGAAGGAUUGUGAGACAGAACAAUCUCAUACCCAUCAUCACAUGACUGCAUCCCCUCGGCCAUGAGUUGCCAAACCAAGCCUCCACCAAUUCCUCCACUUCUUGCAAAGUUGUAGAUGUUGGUAUAAACAACAUUCAAAAAUGAAUCCCUUUUAUUUAUAAUUUUAAUUCUAUUGUACGAAGGAAUUAAGAAAAAACUUUUAUUCUAAAAAAAUAUAAAUUUUAACCUAAAAUAAUUUAGUAUAUACUUUAUCAAGUGUAAAAUUUUAAUGAACAGAUUUUUAUUUUAUAAAAAAUAAAAAUAAAUAAAAAAAUUAUAAAAGUUUAAAACUCACUUAGCUUUAAGUGGCUAGUCAAAUAUCUCAUGCUAAACAAAUUAAAUAAUUUUUAUAUGAGCAGAUAGAGAAAAGGACAGUACUUCAAAUGAAAAAUGAAGAGAAGUUACAAUUACUUGUUCUUCGUGUUAAGGAUAAUUAGCCUUUCCAUUACAAUUUACCAUAUGUAUCAUAUUUGACCCUUGAUUACAUGCUAUUCCUUUGUAAUCAGUUUGAUAUUAUUUCCUACUUUCCAUUUCUUUUAUAAUCAGUUUGAUAUUAUUUGAUUUGUAAUAUUCUAUAAAUGAUUAUAAAUAGAAAACUCUCACCACCUUCUCAAGUGUGGUGGUUUGACAAAUAUUCUUACUUUGUAUCAUAUCCGGCUAGAUUGCCUGCUUCCCUCAUGGCAGUCCUCCAUUUCCUUAUCUUUUCCUUUCUCUCCUCAUCUGCAUUUUCCUCAUGAUCGGUAAAUGCUUCUCCACAAAUCCCAGUUUGGUUCCGCACUUCAGACGGAUCCACAUGAUAGAAAAUUGGGAUAACCGUUUGUUUCCUUUCCUCUUUGCAUUGCAUGAUCUUGACAAGCUCUUCCAGACACCAUUUGGAAUGAGCAUAGGUUUUUGAGAAAACAAUAAUUGCAAUCCUUGAUUCUUCAAUAGCUUUUUAAGAGCUCUGGUGCAAUCUCUCCUCCCCUUGGGUGUUCUUCAUCAUCUCUGAAGGUAUUAAUAUUGUUACGAAUCAAAGCCGAGUAGAGGUGAUCAGUAAAGCUUCUGCGAGUAUCUUCACCUCUAAAACUCAAAAACACAUCGUAGCUCCACUGAGAGUGAGAAGUGGAAGAAGAAGAGGGUCUCUGGAUGCUAAGGGAGGCCAUGGUUGAACAGAAAUCGGAGGAAAAAUAAAACAUAUAAAAUUAUCAAGUCCAUGGGGUAUUUAAUUAGGCCAUAAGAGAUCGUGUGAACUCACACAUACAUUAAAUUAAAGUUAUUGAAUUAAUUUUUGUCUUUUCUAUAAUGAGCAAUAAAUAUUCCUGUAGAAAAUAAAGGUUUAUUAAGUUGAUAGGUGAGGGAAAGCUAUAUAACAACUUCGGUAUUAUAAGCUUGAUUUUUUAAAAAUAAAAAAUAUAAUAAGUCAUAUGACACAUAAAAGUUCAUUUUUUUUAAAAUCAAGUCAAACAUUUUUAUCUUAUUAUAAUUUCUUAUUAUUAUAAUAAAUAAAAUAAUUUUUUAAAUAUAUUUUCCUAUUAAGAUAUAUUAUUCCUAACCACAAUCGAAUUUUUAUAAAAGAGCAAUUAGUUUCUUAUAUGAAUGUUUUAUUUAAUCAAGAUAAACAUGGAAAGAAAUUGUUAUCACAUGUCCUAUAUUGAGAAAAAUUAUAUAUAAAUUGGAAAUAAUUUUAAAAAUAAUAAAAUCUAAAAGUUGUUUCACUAUUUUCUAAAAUUAAUUUUAAUUUCUUAUAAUUUUGCUAUUUUUUUGUUGAUUUUUUAAUAAUUAUUUUAAUUAUAUAUCUAUAUAUAUAUAUAUAUAUAUAUAUAUAUAUAUAUAUAUAUCUAUAUAUAUAUAUAUAUAUAUAUAUAUAUAUAUAUAUAUAUAUAUAUAUAUGUGUGUGUAUAUGUAUACAUACAUAUUAAAAAAUGUUACUCAUUUAAGUGGUUUCAAAUGAUUUAUUUAUUUGCAUGAAAAAAACAUGAAUUGAUCAUCUUUUGAGAUGUAGUAAGAGUCGUUUGGUUUAGGUCACAGUGGUAAUGAGUUGGAAGGGUCUAGUACCUUUUGAAAGAACAAAAGGAGCAACAACCCUAAAAUUCAAAAGUGUUGGAAUAUUAAACAAUGUCUUGGUCAAAAAGGGAAAGCGCGUUGGAUCAUAUAUUGAAAAUAAUGUCUUGUUAACAAAAAAUAAUGUCUUGGUAAAAAUAGAAAACAUAUAGGAACAUUGAAUAAGACAAUACCAUAUGGUUAGGAAAGGUUAUUCUCUAAUCUUUUAUCCUUAUUGACUCAUACACUUGUUGAACCUCCUUAACAAUAGAAAGAAAGUUCAUUCUUAUGAAUCCUCAAAAUGAAUCAAAGAGAUAAAUUUCAAUUUUGAAGUAAACAUAAUUAUUUUUCUAUUUUUGUUAAAAAAUUGACAAUACUUAAUUUAUCAUGUAAGAAUCAAAGAAUAAUAGCAACUAUUCAUACAAUCGGUCUCAUUUUGUUGUAACAAAACUUAUGAUUAUUUUUCUUCCAUGUAUAUGAGGUUACUAUAAAUUCAUUUCCCACUUGUCAUGUGAUUCAAAUAGAACCUACUAGAUGAAAUUUCUCUCAACAUAUUUCCGCAUCACAAUUUUUCUUUCAUUUUUUAUUUUAUUUUGAAUUUGCAUUAAAUAAAUUUCAACCAUAGAUACGCACUAACAAUAUUUAAAUAAAGAUGAUAAUGUAUUUAAAAUUUUAAUAAAAACUGAGUUGAAUUUUUCAACUUACGUUUGAUUUCCUUCUGUUCACCUAAUGUUGGCAUUAAAAUACAAAAAAAAAAGUCAUUGUCUUCGGGAUUUUUUCUUGUGAGCUUAUCCUCAAACUUUCUUAAAAAACUAAGUUGAUUAUUGUUGUGCUCACUUAAUGUUUGCAUUAAAAUACUAGAAACUUAUUCUUGUGAGCUUAUCCUUGCACCUUCUUCGAAAAAUAUAAGAUUGAUUCUUAUUGAUAGGAAGAUAAGAACAAAAACUUCUAAUAAAUUAUAUUUUGGUAUAUUGAUAAUUUAAUGGGAAAAAACGUUAAAUUUUAUAAAUGUAAAAAGAUGAUAUAGUUGGAUGACGCAUUUAUACAAACAUAUGAAAAGAACAUUUAUAGUCAAUAAAUGAAAACCAUGUAAAUAUUCAAAAGGCUAAAAUCACAAUUGAUUGGAGCAAAAAAAUUUAGCUCAUCCUAUAUUUAUUUUUUAUCAUCAUAUUCUUAUCGAGCUUCUUAGGCAUCAAAUAUAAAAAUUCUCUAUUUAAAAUCAAAAUAAAAUAAAUAAGAUCUUGUCAACUACAAUUUUAAUUCAACUAUUUUUGUUGCUAACUAGUUCCUUGAUUUUUGGUACUUCGAUUUCUCAAACAACACAAAAUUUCAUUUCAAGGAAGACUCAUUAACAACAUGAAAUUCAAAAUUACAUAUGCAACAACCCAACCCCAAGCUUAAGUAAAUUUGUAAUUUUAUUAAUUAAGAAAAUAAAAACUUUGGGCUAUUUAAAUAUAAUUGGAUUUUAAUUUUGAGUUUGGGUUCAAGUUAAAAAAAAAUUAAUGAGCCAAAUAAAUUAAUUGGGCAUUUAUAUUCAAACAAUUAAUCUUUAGUAUUAAGAUUUAAUUGAAUUGAAAAAAAAAUAGAAAUAAGAUAAUAAAGGGAGUAAAAUAGUCAUUUCUCAUUAGAAACCUAGGUAUGAAUAUUCACUCUUCUUUACAAAAGUCUUUUUGUAUAGAGAGCAAAUGUAGGGUUUGAAAUCAAUCUUUGAAUGUAAGCACGUAUAGAUUUAAUAUUUACUUUCAUUUUUAAUUUUCAUGGGAAUUAUUAAAUAUGAUCAAAUUUUAUGAAAAAAUUAAAUAACAUNNAUUCUAAUUAAUUAUAAAGUCACUACAUUAAAAGUCUNNNNNNNNNNNNNNNNNNNNNNNNNNNNNNNNNNNNNNNNNNNNNNNNNNNNNNNNNNNNNNNNNNNNNNNNNNNNNNNNNNNNNNNNNNNNNNAAUCAAAAAGUAUAAGUUACAAAUUUCAAAGGGUGUUUAUGAGUGGAUCAAUUUUUGGUCUCAAUUAAAAAAGCUAAUUGAAAAUAAUAUAAAUAUAAUAUGUUUUUAUUUUAUUUAUUUAUGGUGAGGAUUAUAAAAUAAAUUGUUAUUUUUUAAUUUUAAAUAAAGUAAACAAAUAAGAUAAAAUAGAAAUUAAAAUCAAAAGAAAAAAAAUUAAAAAUCAAACAAUAUAAAAUAUUGAAAGUGAUUGAAUAAAAAAGAAAAAGUUUACAACUCAAAUAAGAUCAAUCUAGAAAAUACAUUACAUAUUAAAAUAUACGCAUAAAAUGCAUUUCAUACUGUUAGAUGGUAAAAGUCCAAGUAAAAAAUCGUAGGUUGAUGACCUGAAUUGCAUAGGUUGCUUUCAGACCAUUGGGACUUGUUAGGGUUCAAAGUCAAAAAUAGGACUAAUAAUAUUUAGUAAUAUCAUCUCAAGCCUAUUCCAAAAUAUGGCAACAUGGUAAAAUUAAAAAUUAACAUAAUGCUUAAUAAUAAUAAUAAUAAAAAACCUUAUUGGUUUUUUUUUUUAAAAAAAUCACUAGAUAUUGUAUAAUUUUUCUAAAAUGAAUGAGAAAAGUUAUAAUUAUGAAUCUCUUGAAGAAAAACCUUUCAAUUGCAAUCGCACUCCCUUAAAAAAAAAAAAAAAAACUUAAACAUAAAAGGGUUAAAUAUAUAAUAUGAGUAAAUUCGUUAAUCAUCACAUAAAAAACAAUUUUUCCAGACCCCCUCGAUCAACCCCAUGAGCUAACCCAAGCAACUCAAUGUUGACAUCCUAAGCUAAAUGGUAUUAUCUGAUUAAUUAUUUUACAAAAUAUACAUAUGUUAUAUCUUAAAAUUGGUUACUAAAUUAUAUUACAGUUAUCAAAUAUAUUACCAUAUAUAAAAUACAACUUAAUAAAUCUUAAGCAUAAUACAAAGCACAAUAACAAGAUAUGUUAAUUUAAGUUAUUAAGAGCUUAUUUAGUUGUGUGAUUUAAAAAUAGUUUUUUGUUUUUAAAAAACAAAAAUUAUCUUUAAAAUUUUCUAACACUAUUUACCGUUGCUUUUUGGAAACACUUUUUUAAAACAAAGUAAAAUAAAGAACAAUUUUUAAAAAACAAGUUGAAGUUGUUUUUACCAGUUUUUAAAAAACAAAAAAUAUAUAAACUCAUUUCACUAUGUUUUUUGAAACUUGUUUUUAAAUUAAAGAAUAAAAAAUAAUUUUUCAAAAUAAGUUUCAAAAUAUCAUCUAUACACAUUCUUUUUGAAUGAUUAAGAAUCGAGAUUUCUAACCAGUCGGUUAUUAUUAUUUUUUUUUUAUAAAAAAUUGAAAUUUACUUUAUCAUUUAUUGUAUGAAUAUCAUAUGGAUUUAAAAAGAAUUUCACACUUAGACAUGUACCUCUCAGAACAUUUGAAGUGAAGAUGUUCUUGUCUUCUUCAAUUUGAAGGCUCAUUAUGACUUUGAGAUUCACAUUCCUUUAAUUGACAUGAAAUGUUUGACUUGCCUUGACUAAUAAGGACCUUCAUGGCUUACCUGAUAGAGGUUGGGCCUUUACCGUUAUCCACUCAGCAAUGAUGUAUUUUCUGCACUGAGUUAUUUAAUAAAAAUGGUUUUUGAGUAAAACAGAUUUGGAUUUUGACCUAUGGAGGCCUAUGGACUUUCAAAACAGGGGUUCACUAGGGAAAAAAAAAACAGAGAAGAAAAAGAAGAAAAAUGAGAUCAUUGGAAGAAUUUUCAGCCCCUUUCAAUCACUUAGCCAUAUAAUAGAAACUAAGAAGAAGAGAAAGGAUCGUAGCUCACAAAAAGCUUGAGAUAAAUGUUUAGCAUCUUCUGCAGCAUAUCCAUCCAACAAAUUUGCAAAGAAGCUCCAACCAGUCGUGCAUAUGAUCCUCUUCAUCAUCUUGGGCAUCAACAACAUUACUGUUAAUAAUCUGUGUCGUUGUAUCCAUGGGAGAAUCGCUAUGCUCAGUGCACUGUGUCCAGUCAUAGCUUGUUUGUGCAUUAGAAUUAGUAUCUUCUGCUGCUGAUCUGGUAUCACAACUUCUCUGCUCAUCACUAUACUCCAUCAUUGUCUGAUGGUCGCGCUUGGUGGCUUCUGUGUUGUCACAGCUUCUCUGACAAUCAGUACUGGUAUCUUCUGGGAUGUUGCUGUUGAUAACAUCACGUGUAUAUAUAAGAUAGUACCCACACUCUUUCACUUCGACUGGUGCAUCCAAGCUAUGAAAUGAAGCCUUCAAACGUCUCCAUUCGUUUGACCAAUACUGCUUGUCAAUAGCAACCUUGGGAUAAUAAGUCACACACAUUUGACUUGAUUCAUCGCAAAUUGGGCAGCAAUAAAACUGGACAUCAUCCACGUGACAGCAUUCAGAUUGAUCACCACAGAUACUGAGUUCGCAAUUCAACUCAUCACAAGCCAUAGAAAUAAAAAUAGAGUAUAAAGCAAAUCCUAAGAAGUCAUCUUUUCUGUACCAAUCCAUAGGAAGCUCUAUUGUUAUUUGAGAUCCUUUUUUUGGCUGGCUUAUCCACUCUGGAAUUCCAUUAUUUCCCAAAAUAACAACUCUGAUUGCCUUGUUCCAAUAGGAGUCGCAUUCAAAUUCCUGCACAGAAGUACAGUGUUAAUACUCUGUUCAUAAGGAAAAAGGGCUGAAUGUUAUGAAAAUCAUACCUCAAUCAUUGAUUUGAAGCAUUUGAACAGAGAAAAACCAAGUUCACUUGAUGGACUUGAUGAAGUUUCCAAGCAUGUGCAACUGUGGACAUCUAAAUAUCGUAAACUUGGCCGAAGCUCUGGAACUUGUCGACGCCCCUGGCAGUGACUCAAUUGAAGGACUCUCAGUUUAGACAGUUGAAUGAUGCCUGCAAGUAUGCUACUAAAACAGUCCAUGCUUAGAUUUAGACCUGAAGCACGCAAAUCCUCUAAACAUUGCAAACUCCUCAGGUUCUCAGGAAAUUUCUCAAGUUUUGUACAGAAACUGACAUCUAGAGUUUUGAGAGAACUCAAAUUACAAAUGCUUUCUGGAAGACUCACAAGGUUGGUGCAAUCUGAAAGAUUCAAAUAUUGAAGCCCUCUUAAAUAUUGAAUUGAUGCUGGUAGUUCUUCUAUAGCAGUUCCAUCUAAAUGAAGCACUCUUAAAUUUUCCACAUCCUCAACGAUUUCCGGAAAGCUCCUUAAUCGUGAACAGCCUGAGCAGAAGAGAGUUGUAAGGGAUUUCAACUCACAUAUGCUACUGGGAAGAUGCUCAAGGUUUUUGCAUUCCCGCAAACAUAAGCUAUCAAGUUCUAAGGGACACUCAAUAGUGGGUAGUUCAUUGAUGGCAUUUCCCUUUAAACAAAGCUUUCGUCGGGAUUGCACAUCCCCUUGACAUUCCCGGCAAACGGUGGAUAUCAUUGCUUUACCAUGGUUCUGUUCAUGAUCAUGGGCAUAUAUAAGAUGGAUCCCACACUCUUCUACUUUCACUGCUUUACCUCUCAAGUAGCCACAAAAUGAAGCCGUCAACUCCCUGCAUUUAUUUGAGUGGUACUUCUUCUCAAUCAAAAGCUUAGGAUAAUAAAUCAUCCACAUUUGUGGUACAACAUAGCAUUGAAAUGAGGGAAAAAACUGGAGUUCAUCCACAAACUGAAUUUCACGACCACGCAAAGUCAAACCAUACUCGAAGUAAGUUGCAUCAUUAUCCAGUGUCUCCUCAGAUUCAUUAUCAAGUGGAUAAUAGACACAGUACAAAACAAAACCCAACAAGUCGUCAUUUUUAUACCAAUUUUGAGGAAGCUUUGCUACUACUUCAGCUCCCUUUUUGUGAUGGCUUAUCCAAUUUGGAAUUCCACUACCGUCUGAAAUAAGAUUUACUUGGGCAAAAGAUUUUUCUGUAGGAUAAAUCUCGCAUUCCAAAUCCUGCAGAAAAUUUAAUUAACACGUAAAUCCCCAUGUCUCCACAAAAAAAGUUGUGUUCUAUGAAUAUCAUACCUGAAUCAAUGAUUUGAAGCAGUUGAAUAGAGAAGACCAGAGUAGACCUGAAGAAGUUUCCAGCCGUUUGCACCCAUGUACAUCUAAGACACGCAAACUGGAUGGAAGCGCUGGAAUUUGUCGAAGCUCUUCACAGUAACCCAAAUCAAGGAGUCUCAGCCUAGAAAGUUGAUUGAUCCCAGCAGGUAUGCUCCUAAAAGGAUUCCCGAUUAGAAGUAAUUCUUGCAGAGAUGAUAGCUGGCAAAAUUCAGUGGGGAUUCCUCCUUCAUCUAUACAGCAGACAGAUAGAUCUAACACUUGCAAGGAGUACAAGCCGCAAAUAUCACUCAGGACUACUCCUUGCAUUAGCCCUGAGCAAGUUAGAUUUAACACCUUUAAGGAGCAUAAACCUGACAAAGAAAGCAAUUGGCAACAUCUUGAAUUUAAGCCCCUAGCACAGAGACGCUUCAAGCUUUGCAGCCUCCCCAG
rnacentral:lncRNA from 1 species